GACGAACGCUGGCGGCGUGCUUAACACAUGCAAGUCGAACGGAAAGGCCUGCUUUCCCUUGUGGAUUGCGGGUACUCGAGUGGCGAACGGGUGAGUAACACGUGAGUGAUCUGCCCCCAACUUGGGUAUAAGCCUGGGAAACUGGGUCUAAUUCCCGAUAGGACUGCAGGGUGGUGCCUGUGGUGGAAAACGAUUUUCUAGUGGUUGGGGAUGAGCUCGCGGCCUAUCAGCUUGUUGGUGGGGUAAUGGCCUACCAAGGCGGCGACGGGUAGCCGGCCUGAGAGGGUGGACGGCCACAUUGGGACUGAGAUACGGCCAAGACUCCUACGGGAGGCAGCAGUGGGGAAUAUUGCACAAGGGGCGGAAGCCUGAUGCAGCGACGCCGCGUGGGGGAUGACGGCCUUCGGGUUGUAAACUCCUUUCGACCGCGAGGAAGCCACCUGGUUGGAAGGGUGGUGACGGUAGUGGUAGAAGAAGCACCGGCUAACUACGUG
rnacentral:rRNA from 1 species